CCCUUAGAUGUUCUGGGCCGCACGCGCGCUACACUGAUGCAUUCAACGAGCCUAAAACCUGGUCUGAUAGGGCUGGGUAAUCUUUUGAAUGUGCAUCGUGAUUGGGAUAGAUGAUUGCAAUUCUUCAUCUUCAACGAGGAAUGCCUAGUAAACGCAAGUCAUCAGCUUGCAUUGAUUACGUCCCUGCCCUUUGUACACACCGCCCGUCGCUCCUACCGAUUGAAUGGUCCGGUGAAGUGUUCGGAUCGCGCCGACGUGGGCGGUUCGCCGCCGGCGACGUCGCGAGAAGUCCACUGAACCUUAUCAUUUAGAGGAAGGAGAAGUCGUAACA
rnacentral:rRNA from 1 species